rnacentral:tmRNA from 1 species
GGGGGCGUUUUUGGAUUCGACGGGGAUAGUUCGAGCGUUUGGUAGCGAGCCGAGGGGCUGCGUCCUUCGUUAAAAACGCGGAACGCCAAUAAUAACUGGCAAACAAGAAUCUUACGCUCUAGCUGCUUAAUUUAAGCUAGCUAGGAUCCGCUUCCCCAUCGCCUGUGUGGUGUAGUCGGGUCUCAUAACUUUAGCAGGCUAGCAGACCGGAGUGUCGUCGACCGGAAUGCGAAAUCAAGGCGACUAGCUUGAUGGAACGCCUGUCACCGGGCAGCCCAGCGAGCGAAUCAUUUAAUACGGUGACUGCGCUCGGAGAGACCUACGUGGCGAUAUCUUCGGACAGCGGUUCAACUCCGCUCGCCUCCACCA